UCGACCGGCACCGGAACCUGAGGAAAGUCCGGACUCCACAGAGCAGGACGCUGGGUAACGCCCAGGCGGAGCGAUCCGACGGACAGUGCAACAGAGAGUAGACUGCUAGGUCAAGGGGCGAGCUCGGACCGACGGUCCGGGUCCGGCUCGGGGCCAGCGAGGGUGAAACGGUGAGGUAAGAGCUCACCAGUGGCCCGGGUGACCGGGCCAGCUAGGAAAACCCCGUCCGGAGCAAGACCAAAUAGGUGGGAGAUGAGGCUGCUCGCUGAUCCCACGGGUGGGUCGCUUGAGCCGCCGGGCAACCGGCGGCCCAGAUAGAUGAGUAUCACUGGAUGCCCGGGCGGCGACGUCCGUGGCAUCGAGCACAGAAUCCGGCUUACCGGGUGCUCGACGCC
rnacentral:RNase_P_RNA from 1 species